AGUAGAGGAUAGGAAUGGCAGCAGAAUACAACAGACACUAGUAUGGCAAUAUGUAAAUCAAUGGAUGUGUAACUGAUGUGAUUCUGCAAUCUGUAUACAGGGUAAAAAUGGGAGUUCAUAACCCACUUGAAUCAAAGUGUGAAAUAUGAUAUAUCAAGAACUAUGUAAUGUUUUGAACAGCCAACAAUAAAAAUUAAAAAUAAAUAAAUAAAUAAAUAAAAAUUAAAGAAGAAUGACUAGCCAGUUUUACUAAUAGCAUACAUACUAAGUCUCUACAGUCUUUUAACCCAUCUGUUUUCAUGCCAUUUCUCUUUUCCCUGAUCAGAAUGGCAUUAUUUUAAAAUAAAGUCAGAAAGGGAAGGUACUAGGGAAUGAGAUUGAUCAGAUUAUGUUAUGUUCAUGUACAAAUGUGAUGCAAUGAAUUCAUUAUUCUAAUGUCUAAUUUUAAUGCACCAAAUAAAAUAAAUUAACAAAAUAGCCAAGCCAUUUACCAGAUUUGGGACAAAACAAUCAAUGAGGUGAUUGCAGUGAACAGAUAGCAGACUGUAGGUGGAGUGCCCUCCAUCAAACUCAGAUGGAAGUCUUCAGCUUGCAGGUGUGAGUCCUCUUGGAGGAAAAGAAACCUGAGCCAUGGGAGCCACAGAAGGCAUUCAAUAAGCACCAGUUCAGAGGUUACCGCCCAGCCUCUUUUAAAUGUAGAGUGAAGAGCGGGAUGCUCAAGUUCAUGCUGCGUGCAUCUCUUGAUCAUCACGUACAAUGCUGCUCAUUCUGGAAACAGGAUCAUUCUUUGCCCCUUCAUGGUCUUUUUCUUGAGUCUGGUGGACCCUUAAUUAACAAAGAAGAUUUUGCAUUAAACUUUCAUUGUUCCUUAUUUGAUGCAGAAUAUUUGGAAGAGUAGAAAGUCUCCAGUUGCCAUUCUGUCUUCAUGGGCCCCCUUUCAGGGUUAAUGACUUCCUCAUGUGGGCUUAGUGCUGUCCUCAGGAGUUACACUGGGCCUUUGAUGGAUCGCUGCAGGGCAAAGGCUGAUGAGCAAGUCUGGUUCCCUAGGUCCCUUGGGUUCUGGGUUUCUCUCAAUCAGCCUUUGCACCUGUGAGGUGGAGAAGAAAGGUGUAGGGUCUCGGAACAUGACUGCUGAUGGUGGUUGGGGAUUUCAUAGGAAGCAGAGGUGCCUUGGGGUGAGCUGGGGUUCCUGCACUGGGUUCCUGCCUGGCAUGAUGAGCCUAGGAUGCGUUUCUGUAAUGAACUCAUCAUCAUCUCAUACAAAGCUUCUCAUUCUGGAAUCAGGAAGCUCCUGAAUGUAGGGAUCCUUAUUCCUCCAUUCUUAUCUAGAGUUCUUGUUCUGAACUGACUGGAGUCUCUGGAAAUACCAAUUUAAAAGUUUUCCUGCAUUAGAAGAGCCAAAGGGAGGACAGCCCUGCCCAGAUUGCAUGCUCAGUCUGCAUGUUCUUGCCUGGGAAAGCUUUAAACAAAGAAGAAACAUUUAGUAAUAAUGUGUGCAAAUGAGUUGACAGCCCUCAACCCUGGGCUGUCAGGACACUGUGUUUCUCUGUGUCAUAAAUUCAUUUUUCAGUUGUUCAGUCUGCUAAGUGAAAGGACAGAUGUGCCAAGAGUUCAGAUUAACCCCGUGUCCUGCAUUAUUGUUCCAUAGAGGUACAGACACAUCAUUAUUCCCUAUUAACAGGCUCUAAACCAGCAAGGAAGAUGUGCUAUGGAUGCACUGAUGAGAGUUAAUAAAUUCUUACAACUAAUUACUUCUCUCUUAAGGUAACUUGUUACCAGAAAGUAGCUGUGUUUGCACAAAGAUUUUUAUGUGAGAAUGGCCAUACCCAGGAACAGGCAAGCUGAUUAAUCAUCCUCCAUAAUUCUCCAUAAUAGUCCUAUCUGGACUUUCAUGUCCAGAGCAUUGUUCUUCCUGGAGCUGCAUUUAGCCUGACCUUAAUUGGGACCUGCAAUGUAAUUGCUAAUUGCAGGCUAAUUUAUAUAAACAAACAAGGAUUCUGCCAAAUGAGUGUUGUCACCAGGUCUGGAAUGUAAUGCAUGCUCUUGUACCUCUCUUUUGUGCACAGGUUUGGGUCAGGCGGUGGGAGCAAAUGAAGCUUACUGGAAAACAUAAUUAUUUCAAAUCAGAACAAAAAGCAUGUCCUUUUAAGGCCUGCCAGGAGGUGUGGUGUGUGGCCUGUCACAUUAAGUGAGUGUUCACGCUUUCUGGAGGAGACUGACUUAGUCCUUUGCUCAAAAUCUGACUGGGCCUGAAGGGCAGUCUUUCCCCUCAACGUGUAUGAAAGCAGUGCUGAUAAGCUUCUUUCUAGAAGAGAAAGGAACUUUACUUAUUUCUCCUCUCCAGGCAGCACUGUCAUCCUGGCUAGCAAAUAUGGUUAAAUGUCAUUUGUCCUUGACCCCUGUCACUCCUGAGCAGCUGAAAUAGAUUAAGAGGCUGGCACUUCCUAAAUCAGAUGGAGCGGAAUGUCCUCAGCCGGACCUGUGGUAAUAGGCUUACAAAGAACCAAUGCCGGAGUUUAUUAGGACUUUCCAGGGCUUAUUCCUAUUGGAGGGGAGAUUAUUGAGACAGAUUAUCCUCUUGUUUCCUCUCAAGCACCCAGCCUGGAUGCUCUGCAGGCUGAGAUUCUCCCACGCGAAUCCCAAAGAUACGAAAACUGAGAAUGAAGGUGCCAAAGUGUCCAGAUGGCCACUGUGGACAGGGAUGCUUUUGGAGAAAAGGGUCCUUUAUGUCUCACCUCUCAGGCUUCCUCUCUCUCUUUAGAAACUUACUGAGCUAUGAAGACUUUUAUGUAGAAGAAGUCAAAGGCCAAGGAGCACAAUGAACCAUGGAGAUCAGAUUAUCCUGGCCUGUGGGCAAAUCUGACUAACAGCAACAAGGAGACUCUCUGCCUAGUGGAUGACUAUUUGGGUCCUGUCACAAACCCCUCCCCUUAGAAAUUUCUCCCCUUCAUAUUUUUUUUUUAUUAAAAAUAAAAAAAAUAGAUGAAAUUCAUACAACAUAAAACUAACCAUUUUUAAGUGAACAAAUCAGAGAAAUGUAGCACAUUAAAAGGUAGUACAAACCACCUUUAUCUGAUUCCAAAAGAGAUUCAUCACCCCAAAGAAACCCCCAGAGCUACUAAGUAGUUACCACUAUAUCCUUUCCCCUAGACCUGGCAAUUACCAAUGCAUGCACUAUCUCUAUGAAAGUACGUGUUUUGCAUAUUUCAUAUGAAUAGAAUCACAACACAUAAGGCCUUUGACUGGCUUUUUUAGGUAUAACAAUGUAUUCAAGAUUCAUCCAUAUUGUAGUAUGCUUCAGUACCUCAGUCUUUUUUUAUGGCUGAAUAAUAGGCCAUCGUUUGAAUGUACCAUAUUUUAUGUAUCUGCUCAUUCAUUGAUGGAAAUUGGCCUGUGUCCACUCUUUGGCCACUGUGAAUAGUGUAUUAUUAACAUGCAUAUAGGUAUUUGUCUUCAAUUCGUCUGGGUAGUUAAUGUGGAGCAGAGUUGCUGGAUCAUAUGUAACACUAUGAAUAGCAUCUCGAGUAACCACCAAACUAUUUUCCACAGCUCUUCUGUAUACUCUCUGGUGUGGCCACCUCCAUUAUGUCUUUGAGUUGAGACUCUUCUUUUUCAUUCAUUAUCUUCCUUUUCAUUUAUCUUCAUACCAGAGAAGGGUUUUGCCCUGUUUAGUAGAUUAUUGGGACAAUGGCCUUGAUGUCACUCACCCUGAAUCCAUGUUUGCAAUAGUGACCCAUCACCUCUGCUCUAUGCAGUAAGACUUUUUUUGCUAUUUUUAAAAUUUGUUCCUAUUAGUUAUACAUAACAGAAUGCACUUUGACACAUCAUACAUAAAUGGAGUAUAACUUCUCAUUUUUCUUGUUGUACAUGAUUGUGGACUCACACCAGUUGUGUAAUGAUAGUACAUCGGGUAAUAGCGUCCAAUUCAUUCUACUAUUCUUCCUAAUCCCAUGGCUCCUCCCUUUCCUUCUCUCCCCUCUAUCUAAUCCAAAGUACUUCUGUUUUUCCCUAGCUCCCACACUUAUUGUAAAUUAACAUCCACAUAUCAGAGAAAACAUUCAGCCUUUGGCUUUGGGGGGACUGGCUUAUUUUGCCUAGCAUGAUAAUUCACUAGCUCCAUCCGUUUACCAGAAAAUGCCAUCAUUUUAUUAUUCUUUAAGGUUGAGUAAUAUUCCAUUGUGUAUAUACACCACAUUUUCUUUAUCCAUUCAUCUGUUGAAAGAUACCUAAGUUGGUUCUGUAGUUUAGCUAUUGUGAGUUGAGCUGCUAUAAACAUUGAUGUGACUGUGUCCUUUGGUUAUAAACAGAGUUAUGGGAUAACUGGGUCAAAUGGUGGUUCCAUUCCAAGUUUCCUGAGGAAUCUCCAUCAGUGAGAUCAUUUCAGCUCAGGAUGCCCACACAUGACUCCCACCAUACCGAGAACUUUAUUCCCACCUCUUUACCUUUAUAUCAACUUAAAUGAUCCCUAUUCAGAGAUACUUUCCUUGCCAGUUUGCCCCCAUGUAAAUCAGUGUGGCCUUGAGGCAUUUCCAAGGCACCCUGGGCUUCUGCUCCAGUCCUUGUCAUAAUUUGGAAUGUCAUCCUUGCCUGGGGGCUAGGGUUGGAACCUGGGUGCUCCACCAACUGCCUUCUCAAGCAUGAGAGACUCACAUCUUUAUUACUGUAGAAAUAAUCUCUUUCACUGGAACAAUUUCUGGCACCUUGUAGACCCCUGGUAAGUAGCUGCUAAAUAAAUGAGCGAGUGAUGUAUGAGGGAAUGGCCCUUCCCUCGCUGCUAAGUUAUCUGAUACCCAUCCAGUGCUCAUUGUCACCAAGGCAAGGGACCUUUCCACACUGCUGGUUCCCUUGGGAUCAAUGGCAGAGAUGAAGUCACGGCAUGGCCACCCCUUUCCAUGUGAGACUUAUCCCUUGGUUAGAGCCACAUGCCUACUUGUUUUCCAGCAUGGGCAUAUGUGAUAUUUCUGCCAAGUGAAAACAGCUUCUCAAUUAUUUUUGUCAAACAGAAGACUGAAUUUUCUCUUGGAGAGCUGUCACUGGCCUGUUGAGUACAUUUUGUCCUUGCAGUUUGCUCAGAUAGCUCCUGGUUCUUAGGAUACUGGAUUCCUCAUCUGCCUCAUUUGGAGGAAGCUAUUGGACUGUCACCUUAACAGUACUGUUUAAAAAUCCAUAAAUAAUAUCACUAGAGUGCUUUAUAGGGGUAAAAACCCUCUUUAAUAAUUCUGAUCAUUCCUUAAUCCUCAGGACAGCCUUACAAAUGAUAUGUUUUCCUCCAACUUUAAAUAAGAAAAAAACUUACCUGGUUGGCCAUUUAUCCUGGCAUUUUUGGUGGAAAACCAUGCACCAGGCUUCCAGCCUGGGCUUCUGAAUCUGGACAGAAAGCUUUCCUCCUGGUGCUUCCCUGCUGUCAGCCUGUCCUUGCUGAUCACUGUGGUCAGACACCCCAUACCCCCAGGCGAUAAGUAGAACAGCUAUAACCAUCUCAUGUUCUUCUUGGCUAAGUGCUACAUCUAAAGCUUGCAUAAAAUGGAUGAUCACUCUUCCUCUGCACAAGCAUAUAUUGAAUUUCUAGUAUGUGCCCAGGAUUUUGCUAAGUAUGGUAGAAACAAAGAUAAGAAUUUAUGACCUUAAAGAGUUGAGGGAAACCUAACCCAUGGUGCAUAAUGGGUGCACCUAGUGCUGUUAAAAAACACCGUGGAGAACUGGGAGGACCCCAGUGCCUUCUCCUACAGGACUCUAAGAGGACCUCUCAGGUGAUGGUCCUGCUGAGGGGGUUGGAGAGCAGGCCAGGCUGAAAGAUCCAGGGGCAGGAGGGGCACAGUACCUGUGUGCACUUUUGGGGGCCAGCAAGUGGCUCUGUGUGGCUCGCCAGGGAGAGGUUGACAAAGAGGGUCCUGAGAGGGGACAGGUUAGUGGGAGUUGAGGUGGGUCAGGAAGGAGGGUCAUGUUUCUGUGGAACCAUGGAAGCUUGACUAGCAGGAAGUGCCUCUGUGCUCUAGAAAUGUGGCAGUGCUCACAGAGGGGAGGAGGAUACAGGGGAGAUUAGGUGGUGGCAUGGGGCAGGAGGGACCUAGGAUAGCACUGGGCCCCUUUGCUGAUCCUGGACUGUGUCCUAGAAGCUACAGAAAGAGCAUCAGUCAGGGACAAUAUCUUUGAGGUGCACGUGAUGUUGAUAUGAGGUGAAAUCCAACUGUAUAGUAGCCGCAUCCAUUCCCGAACUGACUGCAGACCUCGGCUGGGUAACUGGGGUCACUGAGGCAGCAGCUCUGUGUCUCAGUGUCUCUGUCUGUAAAUGGGAAUGUGCCUGCCAUGCAGGGCUGGGUUGAAGCUAAAGCGAGGCGGAAUGAGCUAUGCCAGGUUGGAGCCCAUCUUUACCAAAAAUGGUGAUAUGUUCAUUAUGGAUUUUUUUGCAACAAUUUUGAUGAAAAGUUAUUUCCUUAAAAUAUUAUUUAUCACAACCAUGUGAUCACACACAAUACUACUAAACUAUAUAAAAUGGUUAAGAAGGUAGUUUUGUGUCUGUUUUACCCAAAUUUUAUGUACAUUAAAAUAAUUAAUGAAUUUUUUUAAUGCCCUCUUAGCAUUCCGAGCUGUAACAGACAGUUGAGUUUCCAUCUGUGUCCUGUGUCAUAUUUUUCAGUGAAUCCUGAACUUGGCAGAAAAAAAGGGGUUUGAUUAUUGGGCUGCCAAGUCAAUAAUUGAGCCUGAGUGAUAAUAAUGUGUGACAACACAUGUGCUGGAAUGAGCAGAGGAUUUCCCUAUUUCUCCCCACACUGGUGUCUCACAUCCAUGUCCUUCCCUGGAUGCUGAGGUCACAAGUCCAGAUUGCCCUGGACACUGUGGUCAUAUAUCCAGCUUCUGAGGGUUAUACUAACUUGGAACCUGACUGGCCUGGAAAAUAGGUUGGAAUUCACAACACCCUCCAUUGACAGUCUUUGAAUUCAAGAUAAAUAUGCAAAUACAUUUGUCAAGAUCACAGUGCAGAAUUUCUAAACAAUUUCAGAAAUAAUUUUGCCUCCAGUAAAAGUAAGGCUAAAGAAGAUAUUUUGAGUAAGAAUCAAUGAGAAUGCAUUCUUAAGUCUAAUUCCUGAAUUCUCCUUGAAUGUAUCAGGGUUAGCAUGUGUUUUAGGUUCCAGUUCUCUAGUGGUUUACAGCUCUGUGUACUUCGGACCACUCCUGGAUUUAUGUAUUCAUCUUACACAUGCCUGUACUUUGGGAGAUGCAUGCUCACACUCUCUUUGACAGCACUGGUUCAUUAGCCCUCUGAGAACUAAGCCCAGCCCCACUUUUUCCCCUGUCCUGAGUCAAGCUGUAUCUCUCAUCCUCAACCUGAAAGGAAGGAAUCUGUGGGUAAAGAUUGAGCCCUGAUUCUUGACCUCUUCAACCUCCCUCCAGGGGUGCAGGGCCCUGGCAAGUGUUUACCAAACCCUCCCAAUGAGAGCACCUGACUAGGUGCUGCCUUGCCCUUGGGUUUUGCACCUAUAUAGACAGAUAGAUAGAUGGAGGAAAGACAGGAGAGCCCUGCCCUACCCCGACACUGCACAGAUCACUGUUACUGGUACCCAGGUGCCCUGCAAGAUUCACAGUAAUACCCGAGCUGCCAGGGAAGCAGGAAUUUAGUCACCAGGACCCUUUGUGCGUGAUCCUUGGGCAUUUUGUUAAUACAGAAAAAUGAGGCGUGGUGACCUAAUUAAGGGAAUUUAGUAGGAGCUCCCUGUUCCUAUGAGAGAAGUGUCUUAUCACUGAACUCAUUCCACAUUUUUUGCAUAUACUACUACUAAUAACAAUAAUAAUUUUUAUGUAUUUUACUGUUUGCACAUUCUCUGGAAACUACACAGCCCCUUCUCACCUAUACCCAGGGGGUUUCUCUCCUGCCACCUUGACAGCUCUGCAGGGGAGAGCAGGUUGGGGAUAGUAGACUGUGCUGUGGCAGUUUGUCACUGGACAGCAUGACCUUUCUCUCUGCCAGCAAGUUUCUCUUUAUGCUGCAAUGCUGAAGAGCUAGAGAGAAUUCCACUGUCUGGCAUACCAUGAUGUGGUGAGCCAGUCCCUUUUUUUAGAAAAUGAAGUUGCUUCUAAUUUUUCACUAGUGUAAACUGUAAUAAACACCCAUGUAGUUAAAACUCACCUACCUCCUUAAUUGUGUCUUAAAGAUACAUCUUCAAAAUGAAAUAUCUAGACCAAAUGAAUGUUUAAAGGCUUUUGAUACAUGAACAAAAAUUUAUCUAUCACAUUGCCAAUGACAAUUUAGGUAUAUGGAGUUGAUUUCCUUAUUAUCACUUCAUGGAUCUGCCUGUCAUGACACUGUUGAAACUCUAAGCUUUUCAUUUCCUAGCAUCACAAGUUGUUUUUCUUCUCUCCAGCGGUUUUCCUUUUCUUAUUAGUAACCAUAAUUUUUCUUUUGUGUUCAAUACCAUUUCCUCUCCAGCCAUCUGCUUCUUUCAGCUGCCAAGCACUCCUCUUGGCUGCUUCCAGUCUAGUCUUGCUCUGUGAAAACCCCACCAUAUGCCAGGAGCUUGUUGAUUCAAGACAUGGAAUAUCAUGUCUUAGAAGCAGUGAACCACUUGCUCUUGCAAAGAUCAGCUGCACGUUUUGAUGCAGAAACUCUCCUGUAUCUAUGAAUGAGAUUUUUCUUCUGCCUUUUCCUCACCUCCAGAAGCAUCUGAAAGUGUUGCUUAUUUAUUUUCUGUGAAUUUCCAGACUUAAAGCUCUGUUUCAGCUGUCUCAUCAAGUUGUCUUAAUUACAUUUUGCCACUCAGUACUCCAUGCCACCAAUACUCUGUCUUUGACCACUGCACCAGAGUUCCUCAGCUUUGCUGCUAGAUACAUUUGCAGCUGAGUGAUUCUCUGCUAUGGGUCUGUGCUGUGCAUUGUGGGGUGUUUAUAAGCAUACCUGGGUCCUACCAGAUGGCAUUAGCACCACCAAACCCCACCCUGCCCCUGCUAUGAUAACCAGAUAUCUCUGCAGAGAUUAUCAGCUGUACUUUGAGAGGGAACAUUGCCUUGGUUGUUAAGUCCACUCCAGGGUACUAUACUGGUGUGUGUGUGUGUGUGUGUGUGUGUGUGUGUGUGUGUGUGUGUUAGAGAUUAAAUCUAGAACCUCAUGCAUGCUAGGCAAAUGCUCUACCACUGACUCACAUCCCCAGUCCUAGCUCUCUUUUGAGGGCUGAAUCACCAAACAACCAAGAUUCCAUGGUGAUCUUGAGGGAUGUUGACAUGUAGGUCACAAAGCCCCUUUAGCAAGCAGAUCACAGGGAGCAUCGCAUCUCAGAUUCCCUGGAUUGGGAGGGGAACUUGGGAGCAGAGAGAAUGACAGGGGAGUGUCCUGCUGUUCCAGGUGGUUCCAGCAGUGACUUGAAGAAGGGUCAGGAAAGUCCCGUGAUGCUGAGCAGCCAUGGUAGCAGGCCUCUCAGGGCACACACAUCAGCCAGCCUCAUUCUUCCAACCUCCCUCCCUCUUCCCAAAGGUUGUGUGCCCACUCCCAGCCCCAUGCACAUGCAGGGAAGUGUAUUGGCAGGUAGCCUGGAAGGUCUCUUGUCUUGAGCCUUUUUCAGAAAGCACCCUACCCUGCCUCUUCUUGACAGAGGUUUCUAAUUUCUCAAGUGCCAGAGCCCUCCUGUCUUGUACAGGGGAAAGUCUGACAUUGCAGUGCCACACAGACACAGCUAACUGACCACCAGUUCUGCUUUCUCUCUGCAAAGCCUCAGCCUCAGCCUCAGCCUUGAGGCAGCACUGGAACUCUCCUGGCCUUUGAAACUCCCAGGAGUCAACACAAAGAAUUAUGUGUCUUAUGGCUUUUUACAGAUAAAUUGGUGCUACCAAUCCUCACCUGCCCUUUCUAUUCUCACCUCCAAAAGGUUGUAAGUGGUCAUAAAAUACUGUGAAAGCAAAUCAGCUAGUAUCUCGGCAGUUCAGACGAGCCAAGCAACAGUGGCAGCAGACAAUGAGUGGAUGUGGGAUUUGGUCCUAAGUAUUUUCUAAAGUGCUGAGUGCUGACUGCAGCCUGAUUAAACCAAAUCCUGCUUGAGAGAACAUCCCCAGACAGUUUACCUACACAGAGCCAUCUUCUCUUCCAGUAUUUCACUGUGCUUUGGUUUCCUUCCCCUGGGAAGGAAGAAUGGGAUCUUAAAACCAGAGUGUUCCUUUGUUGAUGCAGACUCUUUCCCUUAGUCCUACAGCAUCUUUGGUCUGUUUGUUUCACUGAAAUCCCAUUUUGAAAAGCUAUGCUGCAUAUAUGCAAGAGCUUUGAUGUUCCCUGGCUGGUAGAGAAAUCUAGAUAAUAGAGAUGGGCUCUGCCGGCAAUGCCAGCCUUUGCUAUUUAUGUCCCAAGAUACAGCUCAGCAGGAAAGCCUCUUUGGGGAAGGCAGACUUGACUGGCUGAGACUAAAACAAGGCACAUUGGGAAGACAUGGACUUCUCCUUGAAAUCCUUCUCCCCUUUUAGCAAAUGCUUCCUGUUUGUAUCUCCUCAGUACCCCCAGCAUAGGGUGUAGGGGACCAGAGACUGGGGACCUUGUAAGCUAGUUCAAAGGGAAGACAAGCUGUCUUUUAAUUCUCCUUAUUCAAUAGGGGCUUUUAUGAAUGUGAUAAUGAUAGUUGUCCUGUGAGUCUCUGUGCCUCAAAGAGCCCUUCCUGUCGUACAGUCUCUGUAAAGUGUAUUGACAUCUUGAACUUUUUGUUUAUUCAUUCAGUGAUUAGUUUGGGGAUUUUAUUUUAUGAUUUUUUUUUAACUUUCAAAUUUUCUUCCCUAAGUUUUAUCAUUCUCUUCACAUAAAGAGCAAAUGGCUUCUACUAGUCCAUCCUCAAACCAACUAAGAUAGAAAUUAUUCAAAUAGAACUUAGCCUCUACAAGGAAACCAAAAAUAUUUUUAAAUAUUUUUGAAUUUUAAUUGGCACAUAAUGUAUUUAUGAGUUAUGGUAUAAUAUUCCAAUGCAUGUAUUCAACACAUAAUGAUCAGAUCAGAAGAACUGGUACGUCCAUCACCUCAAACAGAACAUUCUAAAUCCUCUCUGCUGGCUGUGUUGAAAUGUGCCCUUAAGCCAUUGUCAGCCUCAGUUACCACAAUUACGUGCCUUGCUCCUGAGCACUAGAAGCCCUUGCUGCUGUCUAGCUGCAUGGCACCCAGGACCCUUGCAGCCACCUGCACAUCCCACACAUCAUAUUCCCUCUCAGGUUAACAACGCCAUCCUACAUCCUCUGCCCUGACCACAGUCCUGUCAAAAAGCCUUGUGUUUAAAUUGGUAACUCUAGAAGCAUAUAAUUCUCUUCCUUUCCAAAAAGAUUUGAAACUUUACCUUCUGGAUAGGCAAAUACAUUUUUUAAUUCUAGACAAUUUUGAAAUUGGAUAAUAAACCAUGUACUGUUUUUUUUAAUUGAUGGUAUUAGCAGAGUUGUACAUUCAAGGCCAGUACAGAAUCUGCUGGUAUGUUUUGGAGGGAGUCGCUAUUUGGGAUGAGAAAAACCAGCCUCAUGGUUUGUUCCAUGAUCUGUUUUCCACAUCCUCUAAGCACUUUCAUUGUUCUGCUGCCAGCCUGUCCCCACCAGUACUUCAUGGCAGAGAGUUUGAGAAGUAGCUGACAGGCUCUCCUACAAGCACUGUUCUUAGCACUUGCUGUGUGUGUUUCCAUGAGAAAAUCUCAUUGAUUGGUUAUAACCUACUUAAUCCUUAGCUUGAUGAACUCUAAAUAUAUGCAUAAAAUCCUACAUUGCCACAAACAAGACAUAAUUAUCAGAUUCAUUCUACUAUCCUUCUUACCCCAUACCCUUUCCCUCCCUUCACUCCCCUCUAUCUAAUCCAAAGUAACUCUCUUCUUCCCUAGCCCCACCCACUAUUUUAUUGUGAAUUAACAUCUACAUAUCAGAGAAAAAAUUCAGCCUUAGGUUUUUUUAGGAUUGGCUUAUUUUGCUUAGCAUGAUAUUCUCCAGCUCCAUCCAUUUAUAGGCAAAUGCCCUAAUUUCAUUCUUCUUUAAUAUUCCAAGAAUUUUCAGUUAUAUGUCCUCAAGAUAGAGUGGAUAUCAAACACAGUUGGCACAAGGUUUACAAAUUCAGUUCUGUGUUCUGUGGGACGAAAUAGCUAUUUGUUUGGUCAGCCUUUUGAACAUGUUAAAGAUUUAGUCAUCACUUGCCUUUACUUAAUGUACCAUACAGUAGAAAUGUUAGGACAAAAGCAUUGUGUAUCUAAAUUUAUAAAUGAUGUAUUUCUGUUUUAGUAAGAGUUUCAUAUCCCACAAUUUCUCAAGGAUUAUUUCUCAAGAGAAAUAAUCACAUUGAAAGUUUUCAACUACAGAACAAUUUUAUCUACUUCAAAGUGUGACCCUAGCUGCACCACUGCUCUGUUGCCUGGUUGAUGUUGGUUAGCUAGACAAAAUAAUGUCAAAUAUGUUUACAUAACCCUUGAAAAAGUCCAGUCAUUUUCAUUAAUGAAAAUCUCUUCUUUAAUGGAUACUGAUACAUUUGCCCCUAUUAACUCAAUGAAAGUUUGAAUAAAGGUCAGUUACAUCAACUGGCUUUGAAAUAGUUCUUUUUCUUCUGUGUUAACCUGCCAGGGGGCCAUCAAUGUUCCGAAAUAGCAAAGAAUCCCUUUUGAACUGUAUCUCUAGUUGCUAUCAAAGAUUAUCUAUAUUCACAUCCAUUGUGCUUUUAUUUCCUUCAGAGUGUCUCUGUAGCUAUUAAGAAAUGAAUGUAAUAAAAGGUAUUUAAGAGCUACAUAGAUGGCAUUUCAGAGCUAAAGAAAGUUGUCUACUGCUAUAACUAUUAAUCCUGCUUUAUUGUGGAGAAGUUGGAAAAGUGGAACAAGAGAAGAGCCAGCAAAAGAUAAUGCGGUUGCUUUCCCUCUUUUUACACUUCAGCUGUCACAUUUGUGAUGAGCCCGCAGACACUACUUCCCUACGCCCCCUGCUCACCUAUCAGCUCUUCUGGAAGAGGGAAAUCUCAUCCUUGUUGAGUUGACAUUUUGUAUUCUUAUUUUUCCAGAUCUUAUUAGGUCUUUAAAUGAUAAUGUUAAUUUAAAAUGUUUAAGGGGAUGAUAAAGUAGAAAAUAGAACAAACAAAAUAGCCAAUGCAAUAUUUUUCUAUUUCUUGUUACAUUAGUAGCUAGACUCCCUGCUCUAUCUGGCUUCCUUUGUGAAGCCAGUGUUACUACUGCUUCAUCAUCCAAGUUGACACACUUGCAAAAUGACUUGUGUCUUUCCCUAGUGUCCUUUCUGUCCAACUCAAAGAGCGGGGCAGGUCUCAAAUAAGGAACCAGGAGCAGUACGACAAGGGCGUUUGACUUUCAGUGUUUUUGUUAAUACUUGGAAGAGGUGUGCAGGCUUCAUGAAUAGUCAUCUAAAGGCUUCAUGCAAAGUUAUCUAUAAAUGUUUUUGAUUUAAAAAACCAAGAUGCUUUAUGUACUGAGCCUCCUUUUUAUAAACUUGAAACUGAGUGACAAACUCAUUGAAAAUGACCUUUAGUGGGAUGUCCAACAUCCAUCAAUUGACAUCAUUUAGCUCUGACCUAAGCUAAGCUGUAUGAUAAUGGAGAGGAAAAGGUGAUGGAGUUUGAAUUUGUCUCUUGGAAAAUAAGUAAUAAAAUUCUGGAAAUUAUUUGUGACAGUUAAAUAACUUUAUAGUAUCUCUAUCAACAUUUCCAUUUUAAUGUUGCAAGGAUAUGAGGCAAAUGUCUAUUUUCUUCCAGUAAAAAUUUCAAGACUAAGGAACUUAACUCAGAUUCUGGAAUAGAGUUUUGUUUUCACAUUUAUUUACAUAUACACACCUACAUACAGAUGGAUGUAUAUAAAAUGACUGUGAGGAAGCUUAGUGUGUGUCAUAUAUGUUAUAUUGAUUUUAAAUACAUUAAUGGAUACAAAUGGGCUGAACGGAUUGGUACCCCACCCUAAAAUUAUAAAGGAAUAGCUUUGUUUUACUGUGGUUUUUCUCAGAAGUAUGAAAAUAUUUUCCCCAAAUAUAUGCAUAUUUCAUUUCUGUCCUUUAUAAUAAUUGCCUUUGUUUUUCACAAAAGUCAGAAACUUCAUGUAAUCAAAGGUCAGAAUCAUUAUUUCAAAUUUUAAUAUUUUUAAAAGUCAUAGUGAAGAUAGAAGAUUUGAAGUGUAGACAAAAAUGAAAGAAACGUUUUAUCAAAGCAUCUUUUAUAAUUGUUGCAUGUUUUUAUGAUGCAUGUUGCUUAGGGAAAAGCACCAUCUCCCAUUGUGCUUUGAAUCUUAUUUGUUCAUUUAACUUUUAUUGUUAUCAUUUGUCCAAGUUGCUAUAAUCUUUAUAACUCUCAUUUCUAUUGGUGGACUGGUAUUUCUUUGUGCAUAUAACCCAUAAUCUUAAAAUUAUGUGUAAUUAAUUUUUAAUUACAUGUUCUCCCAUUAUUCAUUAUGUUUAAUUCAAAGCAAAUUUAACUAUCGGGAUUGCUGUAAGAUCCAGAUUUGCCUAUAGCUCAUGUCAGUGCAUCUAAUAAACCAUAGCAAUUUUUUCUCUUUCAUCCAUUCUGUCAUUUUUUUGUUAGAUGCAAUAUGGUACCACAAAUCAAGCAAAUAUGUAUUUACAAAUUAUAUAAGAAUUAACCACAGUUAUGCCUGAGUUAUGCAUAAAUUAUUAUAAUUUUACAUUAGUGCAGGCUUUCCAUUGUUGAUAACUUCCUAUGCAAUAGUUGAUAUAUGUAAAUAUAAUAUGUACUACCUCGAUCUUUAGCCUUCCUCCACCCAUCCAAAACCGCCCCAUCUCUGCUUGUUCUUUGCUGUGUAGGUUGUGUCAGAAUAGUUCUCAGAGAGCUAAUCCUGGGUGGCUUGCAAUUGCAGUCACUUUUAUACAUAUCCCAACCCCCCACAAACUCCAUCCUAAGCUCUCUGUGGCAGGAAUGGCUCUCCUAAUCCCUGAACAGGUGACCCUCCCUGUCGCCAAUAUUCACUGGAUUCUAUAACACCUGCUUUUGUUUUGUUUGUGAUGUUUGAAGAUGGAAAUAUGAGGAAGUUGUUAAAGACGUUUACUCUCUCAUUUUUCUUCCACGAGUGGGAUGGAGUAGGACCUCUUCCAGACUGUGCAGAACCACCCAAAGGGAUCCAGAUGCUGUGGAACCCCUCCAUAGUCAAACCCUACCUCACACUGCUCUCUGAGUGCUCAAACCCAGACACGCUGGAAGGGGCGGCAGGUGCCCUGCAGAACUUGGCUGCAGGGAGCUGGAAGCUUUUCCUUCCAGCUGUGACAUCACAACUCAUGGGCCUGGUCCCUGAGUGUGCCUGGGGAGCUGCUUGCUGCUGUGUGGACAGGCUCAAGCUUCCUUGAGAUCCUGAGGAAUGAACAUGAUUGUCCCUUUCCCUCCCUGCCUGUAAAACAUCCCUAGUGUUUCUACCUACAGAACUCAGGUCAAGCCAGGCUGGAAGAUGUCUCCUACUUUCAACCAGAGAAAGGUCCAGACAACAUUCAAAAGCAGAGUCCCACUAGGCAGAAGGCCAGAGUGUGGCCUUAUAGGACUAGGAAGGUCAUUAAUGGAAAUCACUUCUUUGAAGUGUCCCUCACAUCUCAUGUCCCUGUAAGCUUAACAUAGUCCAGUAAUUUUUUAUUCAAACCACAGUUCAAACCCAGGACCUGCCUUUUCAGAGGGUGGUGAUCUUGGGCAGGUUACACCUCUCGUGGGUCUCACAUGUGUCAUCUUCAAACAGAGAAGACCAUAGCUGCCAAGCACUCUACCAUGCAGAUCCAUCACCACCUGGAUGCAAAGAUGGGAACAAGAUGGCAUGGCCCAAGGAUUGUCACGUUUUGUGACCAAGAGUCCCCACCAGCACCCCUGCCUUAUAGCACUACCUCAAUAGGCAUGGAAAGGAAGGGGACUGUGAGCUGAGACUAACCUGAGGUACAAAGACCUGGAUAUCCAGAUGGUGACAAAUCUAAUGUGCUAUCUAAGUUCUGUAUUUAACCAACUACCAUGGUCCCUGAAAAAGAUAUAGUUCCUUAUUAUGAUAAUUUAAAAAUCAUGAAAUGUCUUUGGGCACUGGAAGAUUUUGAAUAUAAGACUUUGACUUUUAAACUCAGAUUCUUUAUGUUCAAAACGUUAGGAGGAUCUGGCAGGAAUAUGUAAAAGACUCAAAUCAAACUUCUAGAGUUGAAAAUAACAUGUCUGAAACUAUGGCAUUUCGUUGCAUUUAAAUGGAAUUAAUAGAAGAUUAUUGUAAAGGGAAAAAAAUGUGUGAACUUGAAGACAAUAUGGGAGAUUAUCCAAAAGAAAAGAAGAAUGCAGAGUGCAUCUUGAGAAUCGAGUAGUCUUGAGAAAUGCAGUGAACCCUCCCACAAGGGAAGGAAGAGAACAGAAAAGAAAAUAUUUAAGGAAAUAAUGGUUGAAAUUCUUCACAUUUUAUGAAAACCAGAAAUUUGCAGAUUCAAGUAGCUCAAGGAACCCAAAAAACAAGAAGCAUGAAGAAACGAUACCAAAGUACAUUAUAAUUCAGUUGCUCAGAACUGGUAAUAAAAGGAAAAUCUUAGAAGCAGCAAGCGAAAAAAGACAUGUUGAAUACCAAGAUCCACCUUUCAUCUAACCAGCGAAGGUCAAGAGCAGUGUCAUAGAUCAUUUAUCCCUUCAUACCACAAGUCCUUGCUAAGCGGCUAAGACUGACUCUAGAAGAGAAUCUGGGCUGUAAGCCCCUGAAGGGCCAACACCAACAUCCACUUGUCUCUGUACCCCACUGCUUGGCUGAGCAAAGAUGUCCCAAUUUUAGAUUAUAUAAUGCCAAUUAUGAAAGAUGUGUAACAAUUAUUCUCAGCAUUUAACCCAAGCAGUACCUGUCCACACGUCUUUCUUGUAGAUGAUAUCUAUUCAUAAACAUCUAUCUAUCAGUAAGAAUUUAGUAGCAUAUUAAGGACCAAGCCAUCCUCAGAUGGUCACAUUUAAGACCAAUUACUUGGUCUUUUGAUUCAGAUACAAAUAUGCUUUUUAUGCUGAAUAAAGUUGGUAGAGUUGUUUUUGCAGAAUCUGGGCUCAGCUGUGCUGGCAAGCUGCAGGUUUAGAAGUGUGGCCCUGCUCUGCAGUUUCUGCAGUGUGGAAGUAUCAUGCAAGUUACCAGACUCCUGUCUCAGGGGAAACCAGGCCAGCAUGAGAACUGCUGACAAGUGUGGGUAGUUAGGUGUUAGGAGUAAGAAAAUGGCAGAUUUGAAAAAUGUUCUCUAUUUCUAUGUUCUCCAAUUAUCUCCUACUUUGGAUUAUAUAAUACCAAUUAUGAAAGAUGUGUGACAAUCAUUCUCCAUGUAUUCUGGAAAGAGCAUCUUGCUAUUUCCAGAUAUAAGCCUAUGUAUUAGUGUAGCACAGUUGCCCCAGUGUGACUACUGACCACACACAUCCAGGGAACAUUUAUUUGGUAAAUUUUUAUAGAGUAAAUACUAUUAAGAAGGCGAAACUGAAGUCAAGAACACAGAAGUUGUUCUGUAUUUUAGACAAAGUUUAACAACUAACCACUGGAAUUCCCAGUCUGCAUUGUAGACAUGAACUAGAAAAUUUAGAUGCACAGUAAAAAGUCAGGGUGGAUACCCUGAUGGCAAAGAGAGAAGAAAGAGGAGUUAGGAAAAUUAAACUUAUACAUGCAAGAAAGAAAAACUCCCAGAGGUUGUUCUAAUAACUGGUAGUUAUAGUGCUGACCUCUGUCGUCAAGAACAUGUUAAAUUGCCACUAGUAAAUUUUAGAAGACAGAAAGAAUUUUAGAAUGCCAGCCUUAUUCUAAGCUCAGAUUCCCAAAUAAUUCUAGACAAGUGAGUUAGUCCUCGAGCAGGGUGAGUUGCUACUAAGGAACAUUCUGUGCAGUUGUAAAUAAAUAUAUACUUAUGUAGGGUCUUUUUUAUUAAAAUACAAAUACACAGGUACAUAUAUAACUCAAUCACAUUAUCAACAUCUAUUACAUAAUUUAUUAAUUUACAAUGUGGGAAGGGAGGUGGACAAUUCUUGGACAAGAUUGGGAAAAAUUUCAUUGAACCAAACACUAAUAAAUUACUUCAAGAAAAUUGAGAAUUAAGUGUGCAGAAACCAAGCAGGGAAACCCUUACUUUCAAAAGUCUAUUUCAAAAGACAGUUCUUGAAUAAUUAAAAUAUUGACAGGAUACACAAUAGAAUUGACUUUCACACAGAUAGUAUUGCUGUCUGAAAUCUAGAAUCUAAGAAUGUGUUUUUAUAGCAAUUGUCAAAAUUUAGUGGUAUUUCUUUAGUGUCCUUAACUUUUUAUGGCCCAACAAAAACAGAAAUGUGAAGGUAAAACACCAGAAUUUUGCAUGGAGACAGCUUUUUAUAGACCUCAUUGUCUGAAACAAUAACUUUCCUUUAUGGGAAGAGCAUGCACACUCUUUUUUUUUUCUGUAACAAAUUGACUAGCAAACUAGAUCUUCAUAAUGGCCCUAAACACUUUUUAAAGUUUAAAACAUUCAUUACUUGGUUUAUGAGCAUCAGAAAAAGAUAAUGGCAUUAUGUAGAAGCAAAGUGAUACAUGUUUUUCAUAGCCGACAUGGACAUCAGUUACCUUUUUCUCAUUUACAGUACAAUGGUUUUGUUUGUGGCAGAAUAUUAAAACAAUUGGAUAUAGUAGCCCGAAGAUUUCCAAAAUGUGAAUGAAUGCUCCUUCACUCUAUUUGUGGAUAUUUCUAUUGUAAUUGAGCUUUAUUGAAACCCAGGGAUUAAACUACAAAAAUAAAAUCUGUACUGGCUAUGAAGUCAA